rnacentral:rRNA from 1 species
CAGUAGCCGCGGUAAUACGAAGGGUGCAAGCGUUACUCGGAAUUACUGGGCGUAAAGCGCACGCAGGCGGUCUGACAAGUCAGAUGUGAAAUCCCCGGGCUUAACCUGGGAACUGCAUUUGAAACUGUCAGGCUGGAGUCUUGUAGAGGGGGGUGGAAUUCCAGGUGUAGCGGUGAAAUGCGUAGAGAUCUGGAGGAAUACCGGUGGCGAAGGCGGCCCCCUGGACAAAGACUGACGCUCAGGUGCGAAAGCGUGGGGAGCAAACAGGAUUAGAUACCCCAGUAGUCCCUGUCUCUUAUAC